GAUGAACGCUGGCGGCGUGCUUAACACAUGCAAGUCGAACGAUGAAGCUCAGCUUGCUGGGUGGAUUAGUGGCGAACGGGUGAGUAGCACGUGAGUAACCUGCCCUUAACUCUGGGAUAAGCCUGGGAAACUAGGUCUAAUACCGGAUAGGAGCGCCUACCGCAUGGUGGGUGUUGGAAAGAUUUAUCGGUUUUGGAUGGACUCGCGGCCUAUCAGCUUGUUGGUGAGGUAAUGGCUCACCAAGGCGACGACGGGUAGCCGGCCUGAGAGGGUGACCGGCCACACUGGGACUGAGACACGGCCCAGACUCCUACGGGAGGCAGCAGUGGGGAAUAUUGCACAAUGGGCGAAAGCCUGAUGCAGCGACGCCGCGUGAGGGAUGACGGCCCUCGGGUUGUAAACCUCUUUCAGUAGGGAAGAAGCGAAAGUGACGGUACCUGCAGAAGAAGCACCGGCUAACUACGUG
rnacentral:rRNA from 1 species